rnacentral:rRNA from 1 species
UACAGAGGUCUCAAGCGUUGUUCGGAUUCAUUGGGCGUAAAGGGUGCGUAGGCGGCGCGGUAAGUCGGGUGUGAAAGCCCGGGGCUCAACUCCGGAAUUGCCUUUAAGACUGCAUCGCUAGAAUUGUGGAGAGGUAAGUGGAAUUCCGAGUGUAGAGGUGAAAUUCGUAGAUAUUCGGAAGAACACCAGUGGCGAAGGCGACUUACUGGACACAUAUUGACGCUGAGGUGCGAAAGCGUGGGGAGCAAACAGG